rnacentral:rRNA from 1 species
GUCGAGAAUAAUUCACAAUGGGGGAAACCCUGAUGGUGCAACGCCGCGUGGAGGAUGAAGGUCUUCGGAUUGUAAACUCCUGUCAUCUGGGAGUAAGACCUGACGGUGAAUAGCCGGCAGGGUUGAUAGUACCAGAAGAGGAAGGGACGGCUAACUUCGUGCCAGCAGCCGCGGUAAUACGAAGGUCCCAAGCGUUGUUCGGAAUCACUGGGCGUAAAGGGAGCGUAGGCGGCGUGGUAAGUCAGAUGUGAAAUCCCGGGGCUCAACCCCGGAACUGCAUCCGAUACUGCCAUGCUUGAGGGUUGGAGAGGUAGCUGGAAUUCUCGGUGUAGCAGUGAAAUGCGUGGAUAUCGAGAGGAACACUCGUGGCGAAGGCGAGCUACUGGACAACAUCUGACGCUGAGGCUCGAAGGCCAGGGGAGCAAAAGGGAUUAGAAACCCCAGUAGUCC